ACUCUAAGCGGUGGAUCACUCGGCUCAUGGGUCGAUGAAGAACGCAGCAAACUGUGCGUCAUCGUGUGAACUGCAGGACACAUGAACAUCGACAUUUUGAACGCAUAUCGCAGUCCAUGCUGUUAUGUACUUUAAUUAAUUUUAUAGUGCUGCUUGGACUACAUAUGGUUGAGGGUUGUAAGACUAUGCUAAUUAAGUUGCUUAUAAAUUUUUAUAAGCAUAUGGUAUAUUAUUGGAUAAAUAUAAUAAUUUUUAUUCAUAAUAUUAAAAAAUAAAUGAAAAACAUUAUCUCACAUUUGAAUGUGAAAAACGAAGAGAAAUAUUUUCUUUUUCAAUCAAAUAAUACUGAGAAAUGUCUAGCAUAAAAAAUUGAAAUAUUUUUCAUCUAGAAUUGUCUCUUAUUAAUGAUUCGGAAAUAGAAAAAUCUUGGUUAUGUUAUUAUUCUUCGUUGGUUCGUUAAAAAUGGAUAAAUAAAAACUUUGCAUACAAGAAUUAAUAAAAAUGUUAUAACGAAUUUAAUUAAAUGUUUUAUCAUUAUAUAUAAAGAAUUUAUGGCAAGAUAAAGUUAUAUACAACCUCAACUCAUAUGGGACUACCCCUGAAUUUAAGCAUAUUAAUUAGGGGAGGAAAAGAAACUAACAAGGAUUUUCUUAGUAGCGGCGAGCGAAAAGAAAACAGUUCAGCACUAAGUCACUUUGUCUAUAUGGCAAAUGUGAGAUGCAGUGUAUGGAGCGUCAAUAUUCUAGUAUGAGAAAUUAACGAUUUAAGUCCUUCUUAAAUGAGGCCAUUUACCCAUAGAGGGUGCCAGGCCCGUAUAACGUUAAUGAUUACUAGAUGAUGUUUCCAAAGAGUCGUGUUGCUUGAUAGUGCAGCACUAAGUGGGUGGUAAACUCCAUCUAAAACUAAAUAUAACCAUGAGACCGAUAGUAAACAAGUACCGUGAGGGAAAGUUGAAAAGAACUCUGAAUAGAGAGUUAAACAGUACGUGAAACUGCUUAGAGGUUAAGCCCGAUGAACCUGAAUAUCCGUUAUGGAAAAUUCAUCAUUAAAAUUGUAAUAUUUAAAUAAUAUUAUGAGAAUAGUGUGCAUUUUUUCCAUAUAAGGACAUUGUAAUCUAUUAGCAUAUACCAAAUUUAUCAUAAAAUAUAACUUAUAGUUUAUUCCAAUUAAAUUGCUUGCAUUUUAACACAGAAUAAAUGUUAUUAAUUUGAUAAAGUGCUGAUAGAUUUAUAUGAUUACAGUGCGUUAAUUUUUCGGAAUUAUAUAAUGGCAUAAUUAUCAUUGAUUUUUGUGUUUAUUAUAUGCACUUGUAUGAUUAACAAUGCGAAAGAUUCAGGAUACCUUCGGGACCCGUCUUGAAACACGGACCAAGGAGUCUAACAUAUGUGCAAGUUAUUGGGAUAUAAACCUAAUAGCGUAAUUAACUUGACUAAUAAUGGGAUUAGUUUUUUAGCUAUUUAUAGCUAAUUAACACAAUCCCGGGGCGUUCUAUAUAGUUAUGUAUAAUGUAUAUUUAUAUUAUUUAUGCCUCUAACUGGAACGUACCUUGAGCAUAUAUGCUGUGACCCGAAAGAUGGUGAACUAUACUUGAUCAGGUUGAAGUCAGGGGAAACCCUGAUGGAAGACCGAAACAGUUCUGACGUGCAAAUCGAUUGUCAGAAUUGAGUAUAGGGGCGAAAGACCAAUCGAACCAUCUAGUAGCUGGUUCCUUCCGAAGUUUCCCUCAGGAUAGCUGGUGCAUUUUAAUAUUAUAUAAAAUAAUCUUAUCUGGUAAAGCGAAUGAUUAGAGGCCUUAGGGUCGAAACGAUCUUAACCUAUUCUCAAACUUUAAAUGGGUAAGAACCUUAACUUUCUUGAUAUGAAGUUCAAGGUUAUGAUAUAAUGUGCCCAGUGGGCCACUUUUGGUAAGCAGAACUGGCGCUGUGGGAUGAACCAAACGUAAUGUUACGGUGCCCAAAUUAACAACUCAUGCAGAUACCAUGAAAGGCGUUGGUUGCUUAAAACAGCAGGACGGUGAUCAUGGAAGUCGAAAUCCGCUAAGGAGUGUGUAACAACUCACCUGCCGAAGCAACUAGCCCUUAAAAUGGAUGGCGCUUAAGUUGUAUACCUAUACAUUACCGCUAAAGUAGAUGAUUUAUAUUACUUGUGAUAUAAAUUUUGAAACUUUAGUGAGUAGGAAGGUACAAUGGUAUGCGUAGAAGUGUUUGGCGUAAGCCUGCAUGGAGCUGCCAUUGGUACAGAUCUUGGUGGUAGUAGCAAAUAAUCGAAUGAGACCUUGGAGGACUGAAGUGGAGAAGGGUUUCGUGUGAACAGUGGUUGAUCACGAGUUAGUCGGUCCUAAGUUCAAGGCGAAAGCCGAAAAUUUUCAAGUAAAACAAAAAUGCCUAACUAUAUAAACAAAGCGAAUUAUAAUACACUUGAAUAAUUUUGAACGAAAGGGAAUACGGUUCCAAUUCCGUAACCUGUUGAGUAUCCGUUUGUUAUUAAAUAUGGGCCUCGUGCUCAUCCUGGCAACAGGAACGACCAUAAAGAAGCCGUCGAGAGAUAUCGGAAGAGUUUUCUUUUCUGUUUUAUAGCCGUACUACCAUGGAAGUCUUUCGCAGAGAGAUAUGGUAGAUGGGCUAGAAGAGCAUGACAUAUACUGUUGUGUCGAUAUUUUCUCCUCGGACCUUGAAAAUUUAUGGUGGGGACACGCAAACUUCUCAACAGGCCGUACCAAUAUCCGCAGCUGGUCUCCAAGGUGAAGAGUCUCUAGUCGAUAGAAUAAUGUAGGUAAGGGAAGUCGGCAAAUUAGAUCCGUAACUUCGGGAUAAGGAUUGGCUCUGAAGAUUGAGAUAGUCGGGCUUGAUUGGGAAACAAUAACAUGGUUUAUGUGCUCGUUCUGGGUAAAUAGAGUUUCUAGCAUUUAUGUUAGUUACUUGUUCCCCGGAUAGUUUAGUUACGUAGCCAAUUGUGGAACUUUCUUGCUAAAAUUUUUAAGAAUACUAUUUGGGUUAAACCAAUUAGUUCUUAUUAAUUAUAACGAUUAUCAAUUAACAAUCAAUUCAGAACUGGCACGGACUUGGGGAAUCCGACUGUCUAAUUAAAACAAAGCAUUGUGAUGGCCCUAGCGGGUGUUGACACAAUGUGAUUUCUGCCCAGUGCUCUGAAUGUCAAAGUGAAGAAAUUCAAGUAAGCGCGGGUCAACGGCGGGAGUAACUAUGACUCUCUUAAGGUAGCCAAAUGCCUCGUCAUCUAAUUAGUGACGCGCAUGAAUGGAUUAACGAGAUUCCUACUGUCCCUAUCUACUAUCUAGCGAAACCACAGCCAAGGGAACGGGCUUGGAAUAAUUAGCGGGGAAAGAAGACCCUUUUGAGCUUGACUCUAAUCUGGCAGUGUAAGGAGACAUAAGAGGUGUAGAAUAAGUGGGAGAUAUUAGACCUCGGUUUGGUAUCGUCAAUGAAAUACCACUACUCUUAUUGUUUCCUUACUUACUUGAUUAAAUGGAACGUGUAUCAUUUCCUAGCCAUUAUACGGAUAUAUUUAUUAUAU
rnacentral:rRNA from 1 species